CACGAACGCUGGCGGCAUGCCUAACACAUGCAAGUCGAACGAGACCUUCGGGUCUAGUGGCGCACGGGUGCGUAACGCGUGGGAACCUGCCCUUAGGUUCGGAAUAACUCCCCGAAAGGGGUGCUAAUACCGGAUAAUGUCUUCGGACCAAAGAUUUAUCGCCUUUGGAUGGGCCCGCGUUGGAUUAGGUAGUUGGUAGGGUAAAAGCCUACCAAGGCGACGAUCCAUAGCUGGUCUGAGAGGAUGAUCAGCCACACUGGGACUGAGACACGGCCCAGACUCCUACGGGAGGCAGCAGUGGGGAAUAUUGGACAAUGGGCGAAAGCCUGAUCCAGCAAUGCCGCGUGAGUGAUGAAGGCCUUAGGGUUGUAAAGCUCUUUUACCCGGGAUGAUAAUGACAGUACCGGGAGAAUAAGCUCCGGCUAACUCCGUG
rnacentral:rRNA from 1 species